rnacentral:rRNA from 1 species
CUACGGGGUGCACCAGUGAGGAAUAUUGCACAAUGGGGGGAACCCUGAUGCAGCAACGCCGCGUGGAGGAUGACGCAUUUCGGUGUGUAAACUCCUUUUAUAUGUCAAGGAAAUGACGGUAGCAUAUGAAUAAGCACCGGCUAACUCCGUGCCAGCAGCCGCGGUAAUACGGAGGGUGCAAGCGUUACUCGGAAUCACUGGGCGUAAAGGACGCGUAGGCGGGUUGGAAAGUCAGGUGUGAAAUCCUACAGCUUAACUGUAGAACUGCACUUGAAACUUCUAAUCUAGAGUAUGGGAGGGGGAGAUGGAAUUAGUGGUGUAGGGGUAAUAUCCGUAGAUAUCACUAGGAAUACCUAAAGCGAAGGCGAUCUCCUGGAACAUUACUGACGCUAAGGCGUGAAAGCGUGGGGAGCAAACAGGAUUAGAUACCCGAGUAGUC